rnacentral:lncRNA from 1 species
AUGGAUAAACAAAUGAUAAAGAUUGGCUUAUUGAAUAUCAGAUCCAUUUCUACGAAAACACUUUUUGUAAAUAAUAUGAUAACUGAUCAUAAUAUAGAUGUGCUCUGUUUGACAGAAACUUGGCUAAAACCUGAUGAUUACAUUAUUUUAAAUGAGUCCACCCCCCAAGAUUAUUGUUAUAAACACGAGCCGCGUCUAAAAGGCAAAGGGGGAGGAGUUGCUUCAAUUUAUAACAACUAUUUCAGGAUUUCUCAGAGGGCAGGCUUCAAGUAUAACUCGUUUGAAGUAAUGGUGCUUCAUAUAACAUUAUCCAGAGAAACCAAUGUUAAUGAUAAAUCCCCUGUUAUGUUUGUACUGGCUACUGUAUACAGGCCACCAGGGCACCAUACAGACUUUAUUAAAGAGUUUGGUGAUUUUACAUCCGAGUUAGUUCUGGCUGCAGAUAAAGUUUUAAUAGUUGGUGAUUUUAAUAUCCAUGUUGAUAAUGAAAAAGAUGCAUUGGGAUCAGCAUUUAUAGACAUUCUGAACUCUAUUGGUGUUAGACAACAUGUUUCAGGACCUACUCAGUGUCGAAAUCAUACUCUAGAUUUAAUACUGUCACAUGGAAUUGAUGUUGAUAGUGUUGAAAUUAUGCAGCCAAGUGAUGAUAUCUCAGAUCAUUAUUUAGUUCUGUGUAAACUUCAUAUAGCCAAAAUUGUAAAUUCUACUUCUUGUUACAAGUAUCGAAGAACCAUCACUUCUACCACAAAAGACUGCUUUUUAAGUUAUCUUGUUGAUGUAUCCGAAUUCCUUAGCAUAUCCAAAACCUCAGAACAACUUGAUGAUGUAACAGAAACUAUGGACUCUCUCUUUUCUAGCACUUUAAAUACAGUUGCUCCUUUACGCUUAAGGAAGGUUAAGGAAAACAGUUUGACACCAUGGUAUAAUGAGCAUACUCGCACCCUAAAGAGAGCAGCCCGAAAAAUGGAGCGCAGCUGGAGGAAAACAAAACUAGAGGUAUUUCGUAUUGCUUGGCGGGAAAGUAGCAUAUCCUAUAGAAAAGCAUUAAAAACUGCUAGAUCUGAUUAG